rnacentral:rRNA from 1 species
UACGUAGGGUGCAAGCGUUAAUCGGAAUUACUGGGCGUAAAGCGUGCGCAGGCGGUGAUAUAAGACAGUUGUGAAAUCCCCGGGCUCAACCUGGGAACUGCAUCUGUGACUGCAUCGCUGGAGUGCGGCAGAGGGGGAUGGAAUUCCGCGUGUAGCAGUGAAAUGCGUAGAUAUGCGGAGGAACACCGAUGGCGAAGGCAAUCCCCUGGGCCUGCACUGACGCUCAUGCACGAAAGCGUGGGGAGCAAACAGG